rnacentral:rRNA from 1 species
UACGGGGGGAGCAAGCGUUGUUCGGAUUUACUGGGCGUAAAGGGCGCGUAGGCGGCCACCGCAAGUCGACUGUGAAAUCUCCGGGCUUAACUCGGAACGGUCAGAUGAUACUGCUUUGCUAGAGUGCGGAAGGGGCAAUCGGAAUUCUCGGUGUAGCGGUGAAAUGCGUAGAUAUCGAGAGGAACACCUGAGGUGAAGACGGGUUGCUGGGCCGACACUGACGCUGACAGCGCGAAAACCAGGGGAGCAAACGGG